rnacentral:rRNA from 1 species
UGAGGAAUAUUGGGCAAUGCCCGCAAGGGUGACCCAGCAACGCCGCGUGGAGGAUGAAUGUCGUAAGAUUGUAAACUCCUGUUAGAGGGGAAGAAUAGUACCGGUUGGACCGGUAUAUGACUGUACCCUCAGAGAAAGCCCCGGCUAACUACGUGCCAGCAGCCGCGGUAAUACGUAGGGGGCAAGCGUUGUCCGGUUUUACUGGGUGUAAAGGGCGCGCAGGCGGGAUAAAAAGUCAGUGGUGAAAUCCUACAGCUUAACUGUAGAACUGCCUUUGAUACUUUUAUUCUUGAGUUCGGGAGAGAGAGACGGAAUUCCAGGUGUAGUGGUGAAAUACGUAGAUAUCUGGAAGAACACCAGUUGCGAAGGCGGUCUCUUGGUCCGACACUGACGCUGAGGCGCGAAAGCGUGGGGAGCAAACA